GGGAUCGAUUAGCCAUGCGAGUCGAGAGGGUUCAGACCCUCGGCGGACUGSUCAGUAACACGUGGAUAACCUGCCCUAAGGUGGAGCAUAACCCCGGGAAACUGGGGAUAAUACUCCAUAGAUUAGAGACACUGGAAUGUUCUUUAGUCGAAAGUUCUGGCGCCUUAGGAUGGAUCUGCGGUCGAUUAGGUUGUUGUUGGGGUAACGGCCCAACAAGCCUGUAAUCGAUACGGGUUGUGGGAGCAAGAGCCCGGAGAUGGAAUCUGAGACACGAUUCCAGGCCCUACGGGGCGCAGCAGGCGCGAAAACUUUACAAUGCAGGAAACUGUGAUAAGGGAACUCCGAGUGCCCGUAUACGCGGGCUGUCCAGGUGUUUAAAAAUCAUCUGAAGAAAGGGCCGGGCAAGACCGGUGCCAGCCGCCGCGGUAAUACCGGCGGCUCGAGUGGUGGCCACUAUUAUUGGGCUUAAAGCGUCCGUAGCUGGACCGAUAAGUCUCUUGGGAAAUCCGCCGGCUCAACCGGCGGGCGUCUAAGGGAUACUGUUAGUCUAGGGACCGGGAGAGGUGAGAGGUACUCCGGGGGUAGGAGUGAAAUCCUGUAAUCCCCGGGGGACCACCGAUGGCGAAGGCAUCUCACCAGAACGGCUCCGACAGUGAGGGACGAAAGCUGGGGGAGCGAACCGGAUUAGAUACCCGGGUAGUCCCACCCGUAAACUAUGCGCGUUAGGUGUAUCGAUGACCACGAGUCAUCGAGGUGCCGAAGGGAAACCGGAAACACGCCGCCGGAAGAC
rnacentral:rRNA from 1 species